GUCCAGACUCCUACGGGAGGCAGCAGUGAGGAAUAUUGGUCAAUGGGCGCUAGCCUGAACCAGCCAAGUAGCGUGAAGGAUGACUGCCCUAUGGGUUGUAAACUUCUUUUAUAUGGGAAUAAAGUGCAGUAUGUAUACUGCUUUGCAUGUACCUUAUGAAUAAGCAUCGGCUAACUCCGUGCCAGCAGCCGCGGUAAUACGGAGGAUGCGAGCGUUAUCCGGAUUUAUUGGGUUUAAAGGGUGCGCAGGCGGAAGAUAAAGUCGGGGGUAAAAUUGGGAGGCUCACCCUCUUCGAGCCGUUGAAACUGGUUUUCUUGAGUGAGCGAGAAGUAUGCGGAAUGCGUGGUGUAGCGGUGAAAUGCAUAGAUAUCACGCAGAACUCCGAUUGCGAAGGCAGCAUACCGGCGCCCGACUGACGCUGAAGCACGAAAGCGUGGGUAUCGAACAGGAUUAGAUACCCUAGUA
rnacentral:rRNA from 1 species